rnacentral:lncRNA from 1 species
GUCCCAGAUGUUGCUAUAGAGCAUCAUUACUAGCAGAUUGUGGAUGGUUUUAUUUAUUUUUAGAACAUAUAAGCCAUUUAAACUCAAGUGUGAACUAAACAACCAGCAUUCUGCUGCAUCAACCAUGUGCUCUUAUUCCAAGAAAACUCUCAGUUUGAAUUCUUUCCUCAAAAAACAAUUGUGCCAUGAAAUUCAGUACAGUGUGGAUGUGAGUAAUUAUUUUGGACCCCAAUCAUUGAUCUUACUUUGAUUUUUUUUUUAAUUUGGAGAAAAGGUCAAAGUAGUGUUGGGAGGAAGAAAUGUAGAUAAAUGGUGACUUGACCAUCUGGCCUCUGUUUAAAAGCCUCCAGAGGAGGAGACUUCACCACGCUCCGAGGCAGCAUAUUCCACUUUUUUAUCAUGUCAGAAGCAAUUGAGAAUAUACUGCAAGUCACUUCUGGUAUGAGAUAAUCAGCCGUCCACAAAGACAUUAUCCAGGGGGGCACCCGGAUGUGUUUUAAUUGUAUUUUAUAAUUCAAUUUAAAAUGUUUAUUUUAUCGUACAUUGUUGCCUAUGUGUAAAGCUGCCUUGAGUCCAGUUCAGGGUUGAGAAAGGCGGGGUAGAAGUGUCAAUAAUAAUAAUAAUAAUAAUAAUAAUAAUAAUAAUAAUAAUAAUAAUAGGUUUGGAUCAUUGAUGUCGCCAUCCCAGGUGACAGUCGCAUUGUCGAAAAACAACAGGAAAAACUCAGCCGCUAUCAGGACCUCAAGAUUGAACUUCAAAGACUAUGGCAGAAACCAGUGCAGGGUGGCCUUUUGCAGUUGGCAGAUCGUGAUUUUGUCAAUGUCUAUUGUUUCCAAAUGCUGGCUGAGAUCUUUUGGCACGGCACCCAGUGUGCCGAUCACCACCGGGACCACCUGCACUGGUUUCUGCCAGAGUCUUUGAAGUUCAAUCUUGAGGUCCUGAUAGCGGCUGAGUUAUUAUUAUCAUUAUUGUUAUUAUUAUUCCAUGAAUCUUGGGAUUUGUAUUUUGGUGAGGGAUUUUCAAUUCUGUACCUUACAAAAUUACAAAACCCAAGAUUCUGUGCCAUGCAGCCAUGAAAAAUAAAGUGGUGCUGAAGUGCUGUAAAUCUAUCAUAACCCAGAAUAGUGUACAAGGAAAUCACCAAGAAAUCAUUACAACUGUUACAGAGAAUAGAAGAUUGGACAUAUGAAGGCUUAACCAAUCAUAGAUCUCAUAGCACUUCCAAUGAAAAGACUGGUGAGGGAAAGAGGUCUUAUAUUGCCACUAGCCACAGGGAGAAGAUAAUACAUUUAUUAUUAUUAUUAUUAUUAGUAGUAGUAUUAUUAGUAGUAGUAGUAGUAGUAGUAGUAGUAGUAGUAUUCAUAGCGGCCCUAAAAACAUGCAGAGAAAAGGGGGGGGGGCUUGGAGAGAGGAGAGAGAAAAAGUAAAAAAGAGAGUGUUAUUCCCUUUAACAUAGUUUGAGCUUUACAGUUCAGCUUUUAAAAUUAUCAUUGAUCUCUUUCUUUUCAUGUCAGCUUUUAGCCUGAGUGCUUGUCUUCCUGUUUCAUGUCUUCUUUGCUUUUAAGAAAAUCAUGAUAUUGCACUUUUACUAGCCUCUGCUAGUUUACAGAGGAAACAAACAAACAAAAAUGGAAGCAGAGAUAAAGAGGGAAAAGGUGAUAUAUUGUUCACUCUACAGUUUGCCCUGUUCUAAAACCAUUAUGUGUGUUAAAUAAAGAGGCUAAAGAUUACUGCAGUGGCCAAUAUGAGUAGCAACAUGUGCUGCAAAACUAUGAGACAUUCUGCAAUAUUUGAUUGAUUGGUUUAAAAACUUGAUUAAACAUUUGCUUGGACUGGCUUUUUAACAUUUUCCUGAGAGCUAUAGAUGCAGCACUUAUUUACAUUUGUGGAGGCAUAUACCUAUGCUGCUGGUGUCUUUCAUUUGGGAUUUGUUUGAAUCUUGUUUGUGCAAAGUAGUAUUUUGUUCCAACACCAUCUGGCAGGUUCAAAGGAAAUUAUUGGCUAGAGCUGUUACCGUCAGUACAGGUUGAGUCGCCCUUAUCCAAAAUGCUUCAGACCAGAAGGUUUUUGGGUUUUAGAUAAUUUUUUUUCGAUUUUGGAAUACUUGUAUUCAUAUAUACAUAAUGAAUGAAGGAUAAAGGGAAAGGGGGCUAGUCGCACAUCCAGUCCCUUACACAAGGCCCCUGUCAAAAGGAGAUAUCCCAGACACUUCACUGGCUGUCAGUCCUUUUAGUAAAGCAGCUGGGAAAGGACGGGAAAGGUAUUAUCUCAAUCUUUACUGCCCUAUAUGAUCACUAAUGGUUUCACCGAGUAAACUGACUCACUAGUUGCUAGUGGAUGAUCUGCACAUUCACCUCAGUCUGUAGAAUUGUGCACACUGAAGUCCCAUUUAAAUUUCAA